rnacentral:rRNA from 1 species
GACGAACGCUGGCGGCGUGCCUAAUACAUGCAAGUCGAACGCAGUGGGGACGGGUGCGUAACACGUGGGUAACCUCCCAUCAGAGGGGAUAACACUUGGCAACAGGUGCUAAACCGAUACUGAUGGAUGGACCCGCGGUGCAUUAGCUAGUGGGGGAGGUAACGGCUCACCAAGGCCACGAUGCAUAGCCGGCCUGAGAGGGUGAUCGGCCACACUGGAACUGAGACACGGCCCAGACUCCUACGGGAGGCAGCAGUAGGGAAUCUUCGGCAAUGGACGAAAGUCUGACCGAGCAACGCCGCGUGAGUGAAGAAGGUUUUCGGGUCGUAAAGCUCUGUUGUUAGGGAGGCGGUAUCUAACCAGAAAGCCACGGCUAACUACGUGCCAGCAGCCGCGGUAAUAC